GAAAGCAGAAGAACUAUCAUCAGGUAUAUUUAGUGAUUUUCUGUGUGGGCUUUUUUAUAUUUUGAAAGGCGCUUCUAGGAUUUUGUUGCUGGUGUUUAAGCCUGGAAUCAGGUUUCAAAAGUUUGUAUCCAUUUUAUUCAAUUUUACACGUGAAAUAACAGGUUAAUGUGCUGUAGCUUGCUGCAAAGGUAAAGUUUUGUGGUAGUAAUUACUAUUAUCCAAGUUGGAAUCAGGAAAGCAGCAAUUUUAUGCAAAAUUACUGGAGGAGAUUACAUUUGGAUUCUCGACCCCAUUUUGGUGGGGAAUCAUAAUUAAUAAUAGUUUUUCAAUGCGAAGUGUCUAUGUAAGCAUAUUGAAUAAUCUCAAGCUGGAAGGUUUCAGACAAUCUACUACAACUCAACUCAACUAAGCUUU
rnacentral:misc_RNA from 1 species